GACAGAGGGUGCAAACGUUGUUCGGAAUUACUGGGCGUAAAGCGCGUGUAGGCGGCCAUCUAAGUCGGGCGUGAAAUCCCACGGCUCAACCGGGGAAGUGCAUUUGAAACUGGUAGGCUAGAGAACGGUAGAGGAAGGUGGAAUUCCUAGUGUAGAGGUGAAAUUCGUAGAUAUUAGGAGGAAUACCUGUGGCGAAGGCGGCCUUCUGGGCCGUUUCUGACGCUGAGACGCGAAAGCGUGGGUAGCAAACAGG
rnacentral:rRNA from 1 species